rnacentral:miRNA from 1 species
UUUUUCGAGGUUAGAAGCCAUUCCUGCAUCCAUAUUCUUUGAAAUCUUUUAAAAGAAUGAUUUCAAAGAAUAUGGAUGCAGGAAUGGCUUCUAACCUCGAAA